CGUAGGGUGCAAGCGUUAAUCGGAAUUACUGGGCGUAAAGCGUGCGCAGGCGGUUAUGCAAGACAGAUGUGAAAUCCCCGGGCUCAACCUGGGAACUGCAUUUGUGACUGCAUGGCUAGAGUACGGUAGAGGGGGAUGGAAUUCCGCGUGUAGCAGUGAAAUGCGUAGAUAUGCGGAGGAACACCGAUGGCGAAGGCAAUCCCCUGGACCUGCACUGACGCUCAUGCACGAAAGCGUGGGGAGCAAACAGGAUUAGAUACCCUGGUAGUCCACGCCCUAAACGAUGUCAACUGGUUGUUGGGAGGGUUUCUUCUCAGUAACGUAGCUAACGCGUGAAGUUGACCGCUGGGGAGUACGGCCGCAAGGUUG
rnacentral:rRNA from 1 species